CCCCGGCCGCCCUCGGGGCUUUGCGAGGCGGACGAGCCCCGCGCGCUCUCGGAGUUGUGCAAACUUUGCGGAGGGGCGGCCUCGGCCGAGAAGACGCCGGCGCGGGGAGCAGAGCGGCGGCCGGCGGGGACGCCCGGAGGCAGGAGGGCAGAAGCGGAUAUAAAUCAGACCUGGUCCGAGGCAGUGUCUACGUGAGAGGUGGCGGCGAAGCACGGAUCCCCAGCUGCUCCACGGGGCAGCGGCGCAGUGGAUAGAGGCCCAGCCUACCCGGUGUGACGUCAUCCUGACCAAUUACACCCCGCUGCUUCCUGCAGAGACACUGGGCAGUAGGAAGUCCACCCUUAGUGAAGUGCUCUCCAUGGUCCAUCUCUCUGGCUGAGUGCUGGCGCAGACCCUGACUGGUACAAGGAGCCUGGACCUCAGGCGUCGAGAAGAAGCUACUGGGUCUCCCAGUGAGGAGGGGCACAGUGACGUGUCAGCGGAAGGGCGACCUGGGUUUGAUAGAGUGUGAGUCCAAGGUGCUCUAUAGCCUCACACAGUCUUGGAAACUAAGCCUGCGGCACCGGGUUUAUCACGGGGUGCAGCGACUGGACCCUGUCACAGAGGACAUUGGUAGCACAAGGGUGAGUUUGGGCUUUGUUCCCUGGGUGACCAGUGGUUGUGGGAGGCUCAGGGCUGGGUGUGACAGUCACGGGGGUGUCAGGAAAGGGAUCCAGACCGGAGCGGCGGGAGCAGCGCAGCAUCAGCCAAGGUGAGCCUGCCACGUUCCUGGCGUGCAGGUAGCAGAUCCGACCCCGGGGCCCACCAUCCUCCUCCUCCGGGCGCCUGGUCCUUCUGUGCAUGGACCAGGAAGCUGCUUGGCUGACUGCCAGGAAAACACACGCAAAGCCUCUCCAGGAUUGCUUGGGGGUCCACUCAGGUGGGCUUACCUGCCCGCCAGGUGAGAGGCGCCCAAUUUUGGAGGACCUUGGGGACCCCUUCUCUUUGUCCUUUGGACCAAACAGCUCCGCCAUCCUCAUUCAGAAUUUCCAAGUACAACUUUUUUUCUGAGCAAAGGAUUUUGUGCCUAAAUAUGAACUUGAAAAACCAGCGAACUACAGGGCUGCCCAAGUUCUGUUCUAUCACCCUCAGCCUGUGGGAGGGUCAGCAGCCCUCUUGCCCGUGAGACAGACGCGGUAAGACAGCUCCUGGCUGUGGUCAGGUCCCGGGGUCUUCCUCACAGCUUCCGGCACAGAGUGGUCACGUGCCCGGCUGAUUCCCCGUGCCGCAGACAGUGCUGAGUUAUGCAGGAAUCUGGACGGACCGCAGGGAAUGGGAAAUAAUGCUGCCAAGUAGAGGUUCGCCAUUGCGAACACCGUUAAUACGGAUGGAGACGACUUACGUGCGAGCCUUCCCUUGGUGUCAAGACGUUCAGGUCGUAACACGAAGACUGUUAACAGUUCCACCGCACUGCGGCUGGGAAGCAGAAUACCAACGCUUCCGCGUCCUGUCACAGAGCUCCUGAUGGACACGGGCGGGAGGAGCAACUCGGUGUCACCGGGAAAAAGCGGUGCUUCCAUCUCCACGCUGGCUCGGCUAACUCCGCGCGUGCCUAAUAUUUGCAGAGCCUAUCUUUGACUGUCAUCUGCUUGCAGCAAACUCAAUGUCAGUUAGGAAGUGCUCUCAGCACCCCCUGGCACCCUCACCGGGGAAUUAAACCCCGCCGUGCUUCCGGGACUGGAGUGGGUUUUCUCUGAACAGAGGAAGUUGUAGUUUCCGGAGCCUCGUCAGGUCUGUAGUCCACUCCGGAGCGGCUCGCACCUGACUUCGUCAUGGCUCUGUAUCACUGGGUUAUGUAAGAAGCUAAUAAAAGAUGC